GACGAACGCUGGCGGCGUGCCUAAUACAUGCAAGUCGAACGCAGUUGCGAACGGGUGCGUAACGCGUAGGUAACUGCCUGUUAGACGGCGGUAACUAUUGGCAACGAUAGCUAAUACCGCAUACUAGUAGAUGGACCUGCGUUGUAUUAGCUAGUCAGUAGGGUAAUGGCCUACCUAGGCAACGAUACAUAGACGAGCUGGGGAGGUGAUCGGCCACCCUGGGACUGAGAAACGGCCCAGACUCCUACGGGAGGCAGCAGGAGGGGAUCAUCGGCAAUGGGGGGAAACCUGAACGAGCAACGCCGCGGGAGUGAAGAAGGUUUUCGGAUCUUAAAGCUCUGUUGUUAAGGAAGCGGUACUUAACGAGAAAGGGACGGCUAACUACGUGCCAGCAGCCGCGGUAAUAC
rnacentral:rRNA from 1 species